AAUACUUGGGCGUCAGCUUCCUAGAUUUGAGAGCUCUUCUGACUCCAGUUACAGGAGAAACCUUCAAAAACACAUGUUCUCCUUCUUGAAAAUCUAAUGGCUUUCUCCUUCUGUCAUAAUAGCUCUUCUGCCUAUCCUGGGAUGCUUUUAUUUUCUCUCGAAUCAAUUUCACUUGUUCGGUAAUUUGUUGUAGCAUUUCAGGCCCAAGGAGUACUGCUUCCCC
rnacentral:lncRNA from 1 species